GACACCGUAGCCAAGUGGUUACGGCGACAGAUUCGAAUGUAGGCAUCAUGAUGAAGGCUGCGAAGAUAUCUGUUACUCUUUGAGUGCACAGGUUCGAGUCCUGUCGGUGUCG